GUUGAAAGAUGGAUGGAAAAACUUGAUGAAACCGAAACUAAAUUGAGAUUAUCAAUUAAAUCAAGCAUAGUUGUAGUUUGCUUGUUGGUUGGUGGUUUGUGGUAUGAAUAUAUCUACAGGCUAG